CCUACGGGAGGCAGCAGUAGGGAAUAUUGCUCAAUGGGGGAAACCCUGAAGCAGCAACGCCGCGUGGAGGAUGAAGGUUUUCGGAUUGUAAACUUCUUUUGUUAGAGAAGAUAAUGACGGUAUCUAACGAAUAAGCACCGGCUAACUCCGUGCCAGCAGCCGCGGUAAUAAGGAGGGGGCAAGAGGUACUCGGAAUCACGGGGCGUAAAGAGCGCGUAGGCGGGAUAGCAAGUCAGAUGUGAAAUCCUAUGGCGUAACCAUAGAACUUCAUUUGAAACUGUUAUUCUAUAGUAUGGUAGAGGUAGGUGGAAUUCUUGGUGUAGGGGUAAAAUCCGUAGAGAUCAAGAGGAAUACUCAUUGCGAAGGCGACCUGCUAGAACAUAACUGACGCUGAUGCGCGAAAGCGUGGGGAGCAAACAGGAUUAGAUACCCUUGUAGU
rnacentral:rRNA from 1 species